GGACGGGUGGCCGAGUGGCUUAAGGCGCACGCCUGGAAAGCGUGUUGGCAUGCAAGUGUCUCGUGGGUUCAAAUCCCACCCCGUCCG
rnacentral:tRNA from 1 species